UACGGGGGGGGCAAGCGUUGUUCGGAAUUACUGGGCGUAAAGGGCGCGUAGGCGGCCUUCUAAGUCGGACGUGAAAUCCCUCGGCUCAACCGAGGAACUGCGUCUGAUACUGGAAGGCUUGAAUCCGGGAGAGGGAUGUGGAAUUCCAGGUGUAGCGGUGAAAUGCGUAGAUAUCAUGAGGAAGACCAGUGGCGAAGGCGGGUCUCUGGACAGUUUCUGACACUGAGGCACGAAGGCCAGGGGAGCAAACGGG
rnacentral:rRNA from 1 species